rnacentral:rRNA from 1 species
UGAGUAACCUGCCCUGGACUUUGGGAUAACCCUCGGAAACGGGGGCUAAUACCGGAUAUGACGGCUCACCGCAUGGUGUGGUUGUGGAAAGUUUUUCGGUCUGGGAUGGGCUCGCGGCCUAUCAGCUUGUUGGUGGGGUGAUGGCCUACCAAGGCGACGACGGGUAGCCGGCCUGAGAGGGCGACCGGCCACACUGGGACUGAGACACGGCCCAGACUCCUACGGGAGCA